rfam:Cephalotus follicularis DNA, scaffold: scaffold977, isolate: St1.
GUGUGCAAUCCGUUCAGCACUUAUGCAUCAGAUUCCAUUCGAACUCUGCAGUUAAGCUUGCUUGAACAAUGUGUAGAAGUUUUAUGCAUACC